rnacentral:rRNA from 1 species
GAUGAACGCUAGCGGCAGGCUUAACACAUGCAAGUCGAACGGCAGCACAGGUAGCAAUACUGGGUGGCGAGUGGCGCACGGGUGCGUAACGCGUAUGCAACCUACCUUUAACUGGGAGAUAGCCCGAAGAAAUUCGGAUUAAUACCCCAUAAUAUAUGUCUUUCGCAUGUUAGACAUAUUAAAGCUUCGGCGGUUAAAGAUGGGUCAUGCGUAACAUUAGCUAGUUGGUAAGGUAACGGCUUACCAAGGCUACGAUGUUUAGGGGGCCGUGAGAGGGUUAUCCCCCACACUGGAACUGAGACACGGUCCAGACUCCUACGGGAGGCGAGCAGUGAGGAAGUAUUGGUCGAAUGGACGAAAGUACUGAACCAGCCAUGCCGCGUGCAGGAAGACGGCCCUACGGGUUGUAAACCUGC